GACGAACGCUGGCGGCAUGCUUAACACAUGCAAGUGGAGCGACGAACCUUUUAGGGGCAAAGCCGCGAACGGGUGAGUAACACGUGGGCGAUCUGCCCAGUUGACUGGAAUAACUCGAGGAAACUCGAGCUAAUACCGGAUGUGCUUGCUUCUCACAAGAGGAGUAAGUAAAGGGAGCUUCGGCUAUCCGCAAUUGGAGGAGCCUGCGGCGCAUUAGCUUGUUGGUGGGGUAACGGCCUACCAAGGCAUCGAUGCGUAGCUGGUCUGAGAGGACGAUCAGCCACACUGGAACUGAGACACGGUCCAGACUCCUACGGGAGGCAGCAGUGGGAAUCUUGCACAAUGGGCGACAGCCUGAUGCAGCAAUGCCGCGUGAGGGAAGAC
rnacentral:rRNA from 1 species